rnacentral:rRNA from 1 species
CAGGUACAGCGGGAAGCCAGGCGGCGACGCCGAGCGGAACCCGAAAACCUGUCUCAGUUCGGAUCGGAGUCUGCAACCCGACUCCGUGAAGCUGGAUUCGCUAGUAAUCGCGCAUCAGCCAUGGCGCGGUGAAUACGUUCCCGGGCCUUGUACACACCGCCCGUCAAGCCAUGGAAGCCGGGGGUGCCUGAAGUGUGCAGCCGCAAGGAGCGCCCUAAGGUAAAACCGGUGACUGGGGCUAAGUCGUAACAAGGUAAC